rnacentral:tRNA from 1 species
UGUCUUGUGGUGUAAAGGUAACACAUGGGCCUUUGGUCCCCACAUUGUAGGUUCGAGUCCUGCCAAGACAA